rnacentral:lncRNA from 1 species
UAACAUUACACGAGUCCGAGAGCCUAACAUAAAAUAGCUCAGUCCAUGAUUCCUCCACACCGAGUUCACCCAAAAGUGAUAUGUAAAAAGAAGUUGACUGCCCGUAAUAUUGGAUCAAAGCAAUGAACCCAUUUAACGUCACCAAUUGACACUGCACCACAUAAUCAAGAAAUUCAUUAUGCAGGUCAGAGGGCAUGGGUGUUUUAAAAAACACCUCAUUAAUCACAUCAAACGACACCAAAUACGCAUUAUAACAGCAUUCACGAUGCGAUUCUCCUUGAGUCCACCAGUGACACAUUCCGUCCAAAUAAAAUCGGACAAUUUCUACAUCAGUAGCAGGGACCUUCAACAUAGGCAUUUCCAUAUUAAGUGUCCUCCAAGAGUUGCUACUUAAACUAUAUAUCUCCCAUACCGGGUCAGUAGGCACCGUAUCCGCCGGAAUUGUAUAAUCUUCAUAAACAAGAUCUUUAGUUUUAAACCGUACAUAUCGAAUCAACUUAUAAUCAUCCCUAACAUAGUCAUAACCAAAUCCAUGAAUCUGUGGUUUACAAUACCUAUAACGGGUCACAGACUCAACAGGGCUAGGAGGAACGACCUUCAAUUCGUCGGUAGCAGGGUUCCACAAUACAACUUUUCUCUCUUUAACAUCCUCACUGGUGACACAAAGAAUGCCAUUAAUACUAACGGAACCAACAAUAAUAAGAUUUUUCCCUAACUCUUUAGUUGGAAGUGAUGCAUUGAAUAUAACUUUAUUCUCAAACCUUUCAUUAGAAACAAAAUACAAAAAAGUUUCCGCUUUGGUGUAAUCAUCAGGUAAAGGCACCAUUUGCCGUAAGACGAGAGAUGCAGUGUCAUCAUCAUCAUGAUCAGAAUGAUUUCUAUGUAUGAUACGAUUUUGAUACAUUUUCAUGAAAUAAGGGUUUUUGAGUAACAUUGACCAUGAUUUAGAUACACAUUCAAAUCGUUUCAAAGAUUUUAGAGAGAGUUUUGAUAGAAUUGAAAAUUCAACAUCAUCAGGUAUGUGUAUGGUGCUAACCUUUUUGGUCGUCGGAGUGAAAGAUUUCUCCAUCAAUGAUGGCGGCGCGUGUCUUCCGGUGGCAAGCAGAAGUGAAGGAGAUUCAGAGAAGAGCACGCUUUCAGCGGUAGAACAAGAUCACUUAUUAUUUCCAAUCUUUGGUAAUUUAAUUUAAUUUGAAAAUGAAAACCCUAAUUCCCUUUUUGGAACCCUAAUCCCGCCAUUCCCUUCCCUCCCUAAUCUAUUUUGAAUUCCGUGUGGGGCCCUAUUAUCUUAUCCUAAUAAAUGAGGUUAAUGGAAAAGAUUGUGAAAAAUAGACUCUUGCAUUAAUGUACUAUUAAAUAUUUUUAUUGAAUUAAGACUUUCAAUUGAUUAAGUGAUCAAAGUUAAAAGAUUAUUGAAUUUUUAUUUAAAAUUAAUUAAUUGAAUUUAGGCUUUGGGCCAUCGCUAUAUAUAAAGCUCUGGUCUCUAAUACAUCGUACGUAAUCAAACACACUCUUCUCGCCAUCUAAAGGGAAUCAAUGUAUUAUGGUACCGGUUGAAGAAGAACCAAACUAGUUGUCAUCUCUUUGUGUUUCAGGAUCACACUGCAAAUGACACUUUUUUUUUUCAUGAAUCCAGGUAUUCUUAAAGUUCAACUUGUCGGUCCUAUAAUUUUAUGCAUGCUUAAUGACUAUUUUGGUUUUCAUGUUCAAGUAUAUGUCAUAAUUUUCUUUUUUGACAAAAAUAUAUGUCAUGGUAUGUUGAGCUAUGUAUAUGUGAUUAAUCUUUAUUGAUUUAAUUAUAUCAAAUGAUUGGUACGGAUUAAUACUUUGUAUUAAAAUCGGGACUUGAGUCCAAUGAAAAAUAUCACUCUUUGUAAAAUAUAGUCCUUUUAUUUUUAAAAAAGAAACUCUAACGAGGUCUUAUCUUUUAAGAAAUGUGGAAUUUGGUUUAACAAUACACCCCUCACGUCCAACACUAUUAGAUUUGUUAAAACAUUAUUAAUGGACUUUUUUUUAUAAAAAAAAACAUUAACGGACUUGGUCACUUUCAAUUGAAUCUUUUAAAGUGUCUUUUAACAAAAGACAAAUUAAAUUAACCGUGAAACUUUUUAUUUUAUUAAAUGAAUCUGACAAUUCUUAAAAGGAGAAUGUUAACUUGUGCCCUUAAGGGCACAUGUUAAGGAAACAAAUAUAGAAAUUAUUUCCGGAAACUUGUGCAUUUUUACUUUUAUGCAUUAAAUUUCUUACAUUAUUAAAUGCAUUAUUUCUAUAUUAGGAUACCUUAUCAUGUGCCCUUAGGGCACAAGUUAACAUAACCGUUCUUAAAAACAAAGCCUUCACUGCAAAUGCUAGCCGCUAAAUAAAUUACCAACAAGAAUUGAAGCUCUAUAAUCAUCGCUUAACACACGGUGGUUGCAAAUUGCAAUUACCAGAUAGACACAUCUUCGGAGAUGGAGAAAUCUGUGACUCUGACGAUUAUGGGAAAGGUUAGCAAACAUAUACCAGAUGAUAUUUUAUUCUCCAUUCUAUCAAAACUUUCUUUAAAAUCUUUGAACCGAUUUAAAUGUGUAUCUAAAUCAUGGUCAAUGUUAUUUAAAAACCCUUAUUUCAUGAGAAUCUACCGAGAUCAUAUCAUACAUAGAAACCAUUCUGAUCAUGAUGAUAACGAUGAUGCAUCUCUUAUCUUACGCCAUAUUGUACAAGCUCCUCGUGAAUUGCAGAUUUCUUUGUAUUUGGUUUCUGGUGACAACUUUGAAAACAAGGUCAAAUUAGACACACCACUUCCAUCUCAAGAGCUAGGUCAAAAAAUUAUAAUUGUGGGUAUUGUUAGUAUCAAUGGCAUUCUUUGUUUAACCAGUAUGGUUGUUGCAGAUAGAAAAGUUGUAUUGUGGAACCCUGCUACCGACGAAUUGAAGGUCAUUCCUCCUAGCCCUGUUGAGUAUAUUACCUCUUUUAGGAUUUUUUUUUUACCGCAAAUUCAUGGAUUUGGUUAUGACGGUGUUAAGGAUGACUACAAGGUGCUUCGUUAUGUACAAUAUAACCAAUUUGGUAUAUCAUAUGAACAUGUGAGAUGGAAUAAGAGAUCUUAUGAGCCUUCAUGGGAGAUAUAUAGAGAAGUAACUCGUGGAGGAAACUUGAUAUUAAAAUGCCUAUGUUGAUGGUAUCUUUUGCUGAUGUAGAAAUUGUCCGAUUUUACAUGGAUGAAUGUGCCACGGGUGGACUCAAGAUCCACCAUGGAGUGAAGAUACUUAUGAAGCAUAUUUGGUGUCGUUUGAUGUGAGUAAUGAGGUGUUUUUUACAACACCCAUUGCCGAUGAUAGUUUUGAUCUUGGAUUGGUGGAGAGUCAUUUGGUGAUGUUAAAUAGGUACAUUACUUUGAUCUCAUAUUAUGGGGAGACUGCUACUUUUUACACAUCAAUUUUAGGUGAAAUUGGUGUGAAGGAAUCCUAAACUAAACUCUUUAUUGUUGGGUCCAUGUCUAUUGUUGAGCGUCCCAUUGGAGCGGGGAAGAAAGGAAAUAUACUUUUCAUGAAAAAAGAUGGAGAGCUGGCCUACUUUGAUUUGGAUACCCAGAUGAUUGUUGAGCUUGGCUUCGAAGGAAAUAUGUGUCAAUGUUAAAUGGUAAUUUAUAAGGAAAGUCUUAUUUCCAUUAAAGGAAUAGAGAAUUAAUUAUUUUUCGUUUCUAUCGAAGAGAAUCAUUAAUGUACUUUUUAGGAUUUUACCUUCUAUACAAAGUGGCGUGCCAAUCGCACAUAUCAUAAUUAUUAUCUAGUAUGAAACAGAUUAAGAAACCAUUUGAUUAUAUGAAUGUUGCUUUAUCAAAUUUAUUUUGAAGGUUUACUCUCUUUCUACAAACUGACUGACGUGCUUUGUAUUUUAAUUCAAAUGUAAAAUAUUGUCUUUACUGAAUGGCUUAUAACUUGAUACUCAAAUGAGAAACAUAUUUUUGUUUAUGUCACUAUGUUUAAUUUUGUACUUGUAAAUUGGUCUUAGGGUGUGUUUGGAUAAAGUAAUGUUUUGAGGGAUUCAAAUGAUUUGAGGUGAAUUCCAUUGUUUGGAUGAUAAUUUGAAAAUUUUUCAAAAUGAUAGAAAUUUAUGAAGUAUUUUUGUUCAAGUUAAAUUUAGAGAAUUUCAAAAUGACACAUAAAACCAAACAAUUUAAAAUUCAUUCUUCUCUGUAAACUUUUAAAAAUUAUUAAUUGAUCGAAAAACUUAAAAUUAGCCGAAAAACCUAAAAUCGACGAUAAACGCUAAAAUCGGCCAAAAUCUAAAAAUCGACUAUAAACCAUAAAAUCGACCGAAAACCCAAAAAAUCGCUAGAAGAACCUAGCCAAAAACCUAAAAUCGACAAUAAACCCUACAAUUGGCCGAGAAUCCAAAAAAUAUGCCGAAAAACCUAAAUUCAACCCUAAACACAAAAAACUCAGUCGAAAACCUAAAAUCGGCCAAAAUCCCAAAAAUCGACUAUAAACCCUAAAAUCGGCCGAAAACCAAAAAAAUCGGCUGAAAAACCAAAAAUCUACCGACAACCCAAAAAUCGACUAUAAACCGUAAAAUCAACCGAAAACCCAAAAAAUCGGUCAAAAAACCUAAAAUCGGCCGAAAAACAUAAAAUCGUCCCUAAACCCAAAAAACUCGGCCGAAAACCUAAAAUCGACCAAAAAUCAUAAAAUCGGCCGAAAACCCUAAAAUCUACUAUAAACCCAGUUUUCGGCCGAUUUUAGGGUUUAUAGUCGAUUUUUUGAAUUUUGGCCGAUUUUAGGUGUUUCGGUCGAUUUUAGGCUUUUUAGUCGAUUUUAGGGUUUUUGUCCGAUUUNNNNNNNNNNNNNNNNNNNUUAUAGUUGAUUUUAGGGUUUUUGGCCGAUUUUAGGUUUUUCAGCCGAUUUUUUGGGUUUAGUCUCGAUUUUAGGUUUUUGGCCGAUUUUUUGGGUUAUCGGUCGAUUUUAGGGUUUUUGGCCGAUUUUACGUUUUUCGGCCAAUAUUUUGUGUUUAUUGUCGAUUUUUUGGGUUUUCGGCUGAUUUUUCGAGUUUCAGGUUGAUUUUUUGGGUUUUCGGCCGAAUUUUUGAGUUUCAAGUUAUUUUUUGGUUUACGGUUAAUUUUAGGUUUUCAGUUUUCUUUUUUAUCUUUGUUUACUCUCUCUUUAUCAUUGCCGANNNNNNNNNNNNNNNNNNNNNNNNNNNNNNNAUCAUAAUGGCAUUGUUAUCUCUGCUACCGAUGAUGAACCCAUUUUCAUGUCCUCCUCCGUCACCACCGCAGAUAGUGAUUUGGUCGUCGUUUGCUUGUGCCAUGUAUCAUUCGCCUUCGAUCAUGAUCUCAUCUUCUGCUUAUGUUCUGUUUUAGCAGAUCNNNNNNNNNNNNCGAUAUGUUUUCAUCGGAAGCAUGCAUUACUCCGUUGGCCACAUGGUGUUUGUAUGACCGGGUAGCCGAAACUUGGCCACAUGGUUUUUGUAUGAUCGGGUACAAGCCAUGCAAAUAUUCAGUUCCCAACUAUUUUUCAGUGCAUGGCCUUUGGGCCUCCAACAUAGUUGGGCAGGAUCCAGAACACUGUUCGACAAAAUACUUUAAUAUUGCUAAGAUAAGUUUUUUAUUUUAAUAAUCCCCUUUUCUUACCCACAAGGUUAAGAUCUGAAGAUUCAAAAGGCAAUCAAUAACUUAUAAACCGGAACAAUUUGUAAGAGAUUUCUGAACCAAUUUUAUUAAACCCAGAAAUAUAAAUUGUUAAAUUGUGGAACAAAUUUGUUUAAUCAAAAAAUGCAACCAAAACUUUCAAACGGGAACAAUUUGAAUUUCUUUUUUCCGGAACUUGCAAUUUGAUAUACUAAGCUGACUCCUUCAAUUUGAUCUCUCUCAUUUUUUUUCUUCUUUCUAUCAUCUCUUCAUGUUGUCGCUUUCCAUUUCUCUUCCUUCUCAGUAUUCUCUUCUUAUUCAUAAAUUAAUUGAUUAAUAAUUAAAACUGAUAAAGAAAGAGAAGGUGAGCAGUUUGAAAGCUAUAGGUGGUGGGAACCUUCGGUUUAACAAGAAGAAGAAAUCAUAACUUAAAGCCAUUUUUCAAUUUUUGUGAUAUAUACUUUUGUUUACCGGAAAACAUAACUUAAAGUUUUUCGAAAAAUUCAUUCGAUGUCUGAAAAAAUUUACAUACCGGAACAUUCCGUGGAAAAAAUUUACACACCGGAACAUUUCGUGGGGUGAGAAGCCAAAUGAUAAAAGGAGUAAAUUUGAAAUUUUUUAAUGUUUGAAGGGGUAAAGGUAUAAUUGUUGGGGUAGAAAAAAAAAUUCCGCCACAUUUUUGAGUGGUUUUGGCUUAAAAAAAUAUAGCUUAAAUAAAAUUGAGCCUUUUGGUCUUAGCCCAUUAAGUCAAUAUAAAAAUCGAGUUAAGUCGGGUUAUCUCAUUGGAGGGUCGAUCCACGCUAUCAACAUUUUUAUGUGAUGUAUUAAUUAAAACAUAAAAAAUUACUAUCUAAUUGAAGAAUUAUUAAGAAAAGUAUAUUUAAACAUGUAAACUUAAUAAAAGGAUAUAUUUAGCUAAAAAAGGUUAAAAAUUGUAAGGUUAUAAAUAAUUUGGUUCAACUUUUUCUUAAUGGAACUAAAUUAGAGUUUAAUUAAUAUUUAGAGUUAACAUAAAAAUUAUUAUGCCACUUUCGAUAGGCUAAUCUAUACAGAGUAAAAAAAAAAGUUUUAAAUAGAGUCCUCGUAAACAAACGAUAUGAUUGAUCCCCUAAGAUUAGUCGGUUAUUGGGCCAGGUAUCAAAUUUUUUAAGAAAAUAUACAUAAAUUUUAAGAAAUUAAUAUAUCAAAGCAACAUAAAAAAACAAACAAGAGUGAAUAAAAUGAGUAAAAGAAAUAAAUGGACUGGGAUGUCCGCUAACCAUAUGGCCCACAUAGGGAUUAGUGUGUAGCCAUUUGAAUUUGACAUGACUAUUACUUUUGCCAUCCUAUCGGUUACUCACGCGCUCUACAACUUUUCCAUUUUACCCUUCAAUUAUUUAAGUAGCGGAUCUUAUAAAAAUAUUUUUUUAUUUAAAAUGUCGUCCGCUACUUAAAUAGCGGAUAAUGUAUUUUGAUAGUUUCGUAAAACGCUUGAGAAAUGUAUUAGGUUGGUAAAAGUAAGAGUGUUUGACAUGAACAAUUUGAUCCAUGUAUAUUGUAUACAAGCCCUUCAGGCCGGACUUUCUUUUAUAUUGUAUAUUGUAUAAAAGUCAAUAUCCUUUUAUCUUUUAUUUUCUUUAUAUUUUAUAUAUGCGUACUUAAACAUAAUUUAUUUAGUGUUAGUAUAUUAAUAAUUUCUAAAAGAUCUUUGAAAUAAAAAUGCUAUGCUAAGCCAACGUACAAUUAUAUAGGUUGGGUUUUGGAGUUCUGGUCAUUGUAUUGAUUUUCAUUGUAUUGGUUUUUCUAUUAUAUGGUUGGUCUGUUGCCAAGCUUGUACUACUGCCAAUAUUUGGCCUGUUGCUAAGCCGGUCUUUACACGCUAAAUAUUUCAAAAAGGAUUUUAUUUUUUUGACUUAAAAAAGGAAAUAAUUUUGAAAUGUUUUUUAUUAGUUAGUUUUAUAUAAAUUUCACUAUAACAUAGAUUUCUUCAAUGUAACCAAUAUGUAAUCUUAUAUAUGAAGAGUAUUGUGUCUUAGGCUCUCAUUAAUCGGUAUUAUUUCAUAUUGUGCAGAAAGCACCAACUUUCAACUAUUAUAUUCUAGCCGAAACUUGACCACAUGGUUUUUGUAUGACCGGGUACAAGCCAUGCAAAUCUUCAGUUCCUAACUAUUUUUCAGUGCAUGGCCUUUGGACCUCCAACUUUGUUGGGCACCAUCCAGAACAUUGUUCGACAAAACAGCUCAAGAUUGCUAAGGUAAGUUUUUUAUUUUAAAUUGUUUAAAUUAUGCGUAAGGCGAUGUCAAUAUAUAAUCUUUGAUGCUUCAAAAAAAAUAUCUUUGAAUAUAUUGAAAUUUCAAACACAUCUAUAUGAAUAUAUCUUUUAUUAAUUUAGUACAUAAAAUUACUAAUAGAAAAAACAUGUCUUUAUAAUUUGGAUUUGGCUUAAUCGCAUAUUUGAUCCUUAUCUUUAUUUUAGAUUUCAAGUUGGUCCUAUAUGUUUUAAAAGUUUCAAUUUGGUCCCUUAAGUUGGUCCUUUUUUAUUAAAUUUUGAGUUAAUUUUGUCUAAAAUUUCCACUUGACACCCACAUAAGUUGUCCACGUAUGCAAAUUUGUUAGUUACAUUGAUGAUUUAAACCGAAAUUUGUAUAAAACGACUAAAUUGAAACUUUUUAAACUUAAGGGACCAAAUUAAAACCUAAAAUAAACAUAAAUGACCAAAUAUAUAAUUAAUCCUUUGGAUUUUGAUACAUUAUUUAUGGAAUAACCUCCCACACAUUUAGGACAAAACAUGCUCAAAUUUAUUCAGGCCUCGUUCACUUUACGAAACAAUUUUUAAGCUUUGUGUUAAUUGUACUUGCCAACAAUAAUAAAUAAACUUGGUUUCAUUAUUUCUAUAAACUUAGUGUAUAUUUGUCUUAUAGAUUUCAAGUUUGAACUCUGAUUUGAAGAUAGGAUGGCCCAACAUUGUUUUAAAUCAAAAAGAUAAAAAAAAUUGGAAAAAUGAAUGGUAUAAACAUGGAACUGGUAUUUGAUUAUUUUCAACUCACCUUGAACCUGUAUUACACCCACAAUCUAACACACCCACAAUCUAACAUCAAUACUAGAAGCAAAUGGUAUUAAUGCAGGAGCCUAUUACGACACGGUGAGGAUUGAGAAUGUUAUAAAAGCUAGUACAGGUGUUAUGCCAAGGUGGAUUUGUGAGUUUAACAACUUACUAGUUGAAAUUCACUUGUGUUUGGAUAACACGGCGCAAGUUUAUAUAUCAUGUCCUCGUUCUUCUAAAAUUAAAUGUUUACCUCAAGUGUUUUUAGCAUAGCUUUGGUGUUUCAAUCUUUCACUUUGAUACACGUAUUUUGUAUGAGAAUUUUUCCACAAAUCCAUUGACAAUUGUGCAGAAUGAUUUUCAUUUUUGAAGGUUUACUCUUUCUAUUUACACACUGAUGUUGUUUGUAUUUUAAUAUCGUUGUAAGAAAGAUUGGCUUUAUUGAAUGAUUUCCAAUUUUAUGCAGAAUUAGCUUAUGUUUAGGAAACUCGAUACUCUAAUGAGUAACAUAUUUCUGUUUAUGUCACUAUGUUUAAUUUUGUGCUGGUAAACUUAUCUUCCUUUGCAGUCCAAAAAAAUGGUAUUCUCUCACAAGAUUGAUACUUAAACUAUCACAUGCGAAAGUUUUUUUUUUUUUGAAUCGGAAAAAUUUUAUUGAAGCUUCCUCCGAUACAAGAGAUAUUAGAGGAGCAUGAGAAAAGGUAAAAAAUACCAUACAACAACAGUACCAAGUCUCCUACUACAAGAACAACCUUAAAACUACAAAGCCCCUCUUUGCAACAAAAUAAAGACACACACGCCCAAAAAAACAAGAGUACAAAGAGAGGCCGAGACAUGGUAAGACAACACCCCAACCACAAGGCCACCUUGGAAAUCAACGAAGGAGACAAGCUCCCGGGUCCCAAGUACAUUCAUAAAACAUAUAAGGAGACAUUUUCACUCUAGCUAAGAACCAUUUUCAGCUCAACACUUUGAUAUCCUCAACACUAGCCUUAGGAUGGAAAUGGAACGAACCAUUCGCAAAAAAAAUUUAUUCCGCACCUUCCAAAUACACCAAAGAGUUGCAUGUCAAAUCAUCAAGAAUCCUAGGCGGGUCUUCUUAUUCCUCACGGAUCCCCUCAUAAUCUCGAAGAGCAACAACAAGGAAGGAGGGGUCACAAUAAUCACGCCAAGCCACCGAAANNNNNNNNNNNNNNNNNNNNNNNNNNNNNNNNNNNNNNNNNNNNNNNNNNNNNNNNNNNNNNNNNNNNNNNNNNNNNNNNNACCCUACACACUCCCAAGGCAUAUCCAAGCUUAACAACCCUCGAACCUCAAGGUUCCUUCUAGUCGGAAUCCGAUCAUAAAGUAAUUGCCAACAAAAAGUAACAACUUUUGAGGGAGCCGGACUAUCCCAUAUUUAGACCAAUAUGCAUUUGCAAAAUAAACUAAUACCUGAUACACUGUGUCAUUUCGCGACAAACUCAAGAUGACUAAAAAUGUGAACUUAUAUGCACCGUCAAUUUGUCUAAGAGUGCAAACUUAAAGGAGUGAGUGAUCCAAAACUUUUAUGAGAAUAAAAAGAUAUCCUGCUACAUAUGCUUGGAUCUGGUAUAGCAGAACUAGAUUGUGACUCAAAACAUGAAUGCUUUUAUCAUCGAAAUGUAAUAGUUUGUAAUUAUCAUAUGACCACACAAAUUGCAUGUGACAAAAUAACAUAUAGAUGCUACUGCUACCAAACGAAGAUAAGUUUACAAGCACAGAAUUAAACAUAGUGGCAUCAACAGAAAUAUGUUUCUCAUUAGAGUAUCAAGUUUUCUAAGCAUAAGCUAAUGCUACAUAAAAUUGGAAAUCAUUCAGUCAAGCCAAAAUAUCUUUCUUACAACUAUAUUAAAAUACAAACUAGAUCAAUUUCUAAAUAGAAACAAAGAAAACCUUCAAAAUAAAUUUGAUAAAGCAAGAUUCUUACUAUCAAAUGGUUUCUUAAUUUGAUAAUGCCACUUCAUAUGGAAGGUAAAAUACUAAGAACCGCGUUAAAAGACCACUUGCAUGAAAACAAGAAAAAUAAGUCAUUAUCAAUUCCUCAAAUUGAAAGAAGGCUUUCCUUAUAAAUUGCCAUCUGACAUAAAAAUCCUUUGACACCAAGCUCAUCAAUCCUCUGGGUAUCCAAAUCAAAGCAGACCAGCUCGCUAUAUAGAUAAGAAGAUUCUAGUUCGCUAUCUAGUUCAGAAUCGUAAUCAUAUUUCAUAAAAUAUAUAUUGCCUUUCCUCCACACUCCAAUGGGACGCUUAAUAUUACACGAGUCCGAGAGCCUGACUUAAAAUACCUUAGUCCAUGAUUCCUCCACACCAAGUUCACCCAAAAGUGAUAUGUAAAAAGAAGUUGACUCCCAGUAAUAUUGGAUCAACGCAAUGUACCCGUUUAACGUCACUAAUUGACACUGCACCACAUAAUCACGGAAUUCAUUAUCCAGGUCAGAGGGCAUGGGUGUUUUAAAAAACACCUCAUUAAUCACAUCAAACGACACCAAAUACACAUUAUAACAGCAUUCACAAUGUGAUUCUCCUUGAGUCCACCAGUGACACAUUCCAUCCAGGUAAAAUCGGACAAUUUCUACAUUAGAAGAAAUGACCUUCAAUAUAGGCAUUUGGUAGAUUAAAGACAGGGACUCCAACACUCUUUUUUUCAUCAGAGUAUUAACAACAGAAGACGUAGGAACCAUUUGGAAUCUAUCCAAAUGCAUGAAAGGUGGUUAUCUGAAGUUGGCAAAAUAAAGGAAGCGGUAAAAAUUCCUUUUGAAUUGAACUUUGCUGAAAGGUUACCUACUAGACCAUUUUCUAGUUGUUUCAGCUGUCCUUGGUUUAUAUAUAUUGUAUACGAGAUAGAGAAGAAAAAGUGCAAAUUAUAAGAUACUUUUUAAUGUGCUUUUAUGCAAGCUCUCAGCACACAGUUGUCAUCGAGAACCUUCUAUUGUCAAACCUUUUCAGGUAACAUUUGUCAAACCUUCUACACUAAAGAACUUUCUGAUUUAUCAAAAGUAAAAAAAGAACUUUCUGAAAGAGCUUAUGCUUUACCUUCUCGGUUGAAGAACCUACUCGUUUAUCAUAACCUGUUCCACAAAUGCUUAUUGAAAGCACUUUAUAAUUCAUGUGCAACGAAUCAAGGAUUUAAAUUUUGAAUGUGCUCAUCCGCUUUGUAUUGCUUUGUAUAGGCUGCGCCGAGGAAAUGGAAUGCUUUGUUUCUGCUCCUGAUCUACUAAGAAUUCAAGUAGUUGGUGGAACGAAACUUGUAGCUUAAGGCUACCAUAGAUGACAGAAUUCAAGUGGUUGAGGGAAUGCUAACUCUGCUGAGAAUUCAAGUAGUUGAGGUGCUGCCAGCCAAACAAGACCCAAGUAAAAUACUAAUGAUACUCUGCAGAAUGUAUACAAUUUCUCCUUUAUACUGAAAACCUUUAAGGGUCAUAUAUGUUAGGGGACAAUUUCUCAUUACACCUUCUUUGACAGCCAACAUAACAGUAAUCUAUUGUACUAAUCUAAUUUUUAUGAGAAUCUAGCUCACCCUAGAUGCUAUCAAUAAAUAAACCAAGUAGGAUUUAUUGGACAGGAUUGUGGCAUGGACCUUUUUAUGAGAAUAUUUGGUUUUGUUAAAUUGUUGAAUUUCAUUUUGAAAUGAUGCAGAUGAAACCUUUUAUGCCACACAUACAUAUUCUCUGUGCUACAUAAAUACUUUUGCUCAUUCCCAAAUUAAUUACACAGAUUUUGUAUACAAUUCAAUCACUUUCGCAUGUGAUAGAUUCGGUAUCAAUCUUGUGAGAGAAUACUAAUUUUUUGGACUGCAAAGGAAGAUAAGUUUACAAGCACAAAAUUAAACAUAGUUGCAUAAACAGAAAUAUGUUACUCAUUAGAGUAUCAAGUUUCCUAAACAUAAGCUAAUGCUACAUAAAAUUGGAAAUCAUUCAGUAAAGGCAAAAUAUCUUUCUUACAACUAUAUUAAAAUACAAACUAGAUCAGUUUGUAAAUAGAAAUAGAGUAAACCUUCAAAAUAAAUUUGAUAAAGCAAGAUUCUUACUAACACAUGGUUUCUUAAUUUGAUAAAGCCACUUCGUAUGGAAGGUAAAAUACCAAGAACCGCGUCAAAAGACCACUUGCAUGAAAACAAGAAAAAUAAGUCAUUAUCAAUUCCUCAAAUUGAAAGAAGGCUUUCCUUAUAAAUUGCCAUCUGACAUAAAAAUCCUUUGACACCAAGCUCAUCAAUCCUCUGGGUAUCCAAAUCAAAGCAGACCAGUUCGCUAUAUAGAUAAGAAGAUUCUAGUUCGCUAUCUAGCUCGGAAUCGUAAUCAUAUUUCAUAAAAUAUAUAUUGCCUUUCCUCCCCACUCCAAUGGGACGCUUAAUAUUACACGAGUCCGAGAGCCNNNNNNNNNNNNNNNNNNNNNNNNNNNNNNNNNNNNNNNNNNNNNNNNNNNNNNNNNNNNNNNNNNNNNNNNNNNNNNNNNNNNNNNNNNNNNNNNNNNNNNNNNNNNNNNNNNNNNNNNNNNNNNNNNNNNNNNNNNNNNNNNNNNNNNNNNNNNNNNNNNNNNNNNNNNNNNNNNNNNGGGACGCUUAAUAUUACACGAGUCCGAGAGCCUAACAUAAAAUACCUUAGUCCAUGAUUCCUCCGCACCGAGUUCACCCAAAAGUGAUAUGUGAAAAGAAGUUGACUCCCAGUAAUAUUGGAUCAAAGCAAUGUACCCAUUUAACGUCACCAAUUGACACUGCACCACAUAAUCACGGAAUUCAUUAUCCAGGUCAGAGGGCAUGGGUGUUUUAAAAAACACCUCAUUAAUCACAUCAAAUGACACCAAAUAUGCAUUAUAACAGCAUUCACGAUGCGAUUCUCCUUGAGUCCACCAGUGACACAUUCCAUCCAGGUAAAAUCGGACAAUUUCUACAUUAGAAGAAAUGACCUUCAAUAUAGGCAUUUCCAUAUUAAGUGUCCUCCAAGAGUUGCUACUUAAACUAUAUAUCUCCCAAACCGGGUCAGUAGGCACCGUAUUCGCCGGAAUUGUAUAAUCUUCAUAAACAAGAUCUUUAGUUUUAAACCGUACAUAUCGAAUCAACUUAUAAUCAUCCCUAACAUAGUCAUAACCAAAUCCAUGAAUCUGCGGUUUGCAAUACCUAUAACGGGUCACAGACUCAACAGGGCUAGGAGGAAUGACCUUCAAUUCAUCGGUAGCAGGGUUCCACAAUACAACUUUUCUCUCUUUAACGUCCUUACUCGUUACACAAAGAAUGCCAUUAAUACUAACGGAACCAACAAUAAUAAGAUUUUUCCCUAACUCUUUAGUUGGAAGUGAUGCAUUGAAUAAAACCUUAUUCUCAAACCUUUCAUUAGAAACAGAAUACAAAAAGGAUUCGACGUUGACGUAAUCAGGUAAAGGCACCAUUUGCCGUAAGAUAAGAGAUGCAGUGUCAUCAUCAUCAUGAUCAGAAUGGUUUCUAUGUAUGAUAUGAUUUUGAUACAUUUUCAUGAAAUAAGGGUUUUUGAGUAACAUUGACCAUGAUUUAGAUACACAUUCAAAUCGUUUCAAAGAUUUUAGAGAGAGUUUUGAUAGAAUUGAAAAUUCAACAUCAUCAGGUAUUUGUAUGGUGCUAACCUUUUUGGUCGUCGGAGUGACAGAUUUCUCCAUCAAUGACGGCGGCGUGUGUCUUCCGGUGGGAAGCAGAAGUGAAGGAGAUUCAGAGAAGAAGAAGAGUCGUUAUUUCCAAUCUUUGGAAAUUUAUUAUGAAAA